rnacentral:lncRNA from 1 species
CAAGCUCCUUUUGUCUGGGCAUCCCCCUCCCCCUCCCCAGAAGCGGGGGCCGAGUCGCCCACUCCCCUUCCUAGCAGCCGGUUAUUUCCAGCACGGAGCAGCUGCCCAAGUUACCUGGGAGAUGGGAAAAUCGUGUGAAAGCUGGUUAACCCUUUGAGGAUUAGAAUAAUGGUGGAAGCAGAAAGGAGAAGGGGUUUCACUCCCAGGAUGUAGGUAGGACCAGCCCUCCCUGCAGUCCUGUCCUACAAGGCUCAAGUCUCGUCCACUCCAAAUCACCACUGGGAUUCCUAAGUCCAGGACAGAGCUUCAGGCAAGGAAAAGAGAAGAGUUGGGAAAGCCACUUUCCAACAUUUAUCAGCCACGUGUACCUGCAAACUAUAUACCUAGGGUAAAUCAUCACUCUCUUGAAAUAGGAAUAAAACCAUCUGCCUUGUCUUUCUUA